rnacentral:rRNA from 1 species
UAUGUAGGGGGCUAGCGUUGUCCGGAUUUAUUGGGCGUAAAGAGCGUGUAGGCGGCCAGGUAGGUCUGCUGUGAAAACUCGAGGCUCAACCUCGAGACGUCGGCGGAAACCAUCUGGCUAGAGUCCGGAAGAGGAGAGUGGAAUUCCUGGUGUAGCGGUGAAAUGCGCAGAUAUCAGGAAGAACACCCGUGGCGAAGGCGGCUCUCUGGGACGGUACUGACGCUGAGACGCGAAAGCGUGGGGAGCGAACAGG